AUGAUUCAGUUAGAGGAAGGGCUUUUACAAAAAGCCCUGCUUCAGAAAAUAGCUCCACCUGCCCAUGGGGGGCUCCUGCACAGGGAGAGUAGCUGGGAGAGAUCUCCUGAGCGGGUCCCUGAUGUGAUCUCGCAGGGAUCUGGGCUCAGAGCGGAGCGGGGCGUUCAGGACGCCAGCAGGGCCGCGGGACCCCUUUUUGUGCUGAGCCCUGAAGCUGUGAGCACUGACACUCAGUACUUCGGCGCGGGCACCCGGCUGUCGGUGCUAGACGACCUGAGCAAGGUGACCCCACCCAAGGUGGCUGUGUUCGAGCCGGCAGCAGCAGAGAUCUCCCGGACCCAGAAGGCCACGCUCGUGUGCCUGGCCACGGGCUUCUACCCCGACCACGUGGAGCUGAGCUGGUGGGUGAACGGGAAGCAGGUCAAGACAGGGGUCAGCACGGACCCUGAGCCCCACAAGGAGGACCCCAGCCACAAUGACUCCAGAUACUGUCUGAGCAGCCGGCUGAGGGUCUCCGCCACCUUCUGGUACAACCCUCGCAACCUCUUCCGCUGCCAAGCCUGGUUCCACGGGGUCGCGGACGAGGACGAGUGGAAGCAGGACGGGCCCAAACCCGUCACCCAGAACGUCAGCGCCGAGGUCUGGGGCCGAGCAGACUGUGGCUUCACCUCGGUGUCCUAUCAGCAAGGGGUCCUGUCUGCCACCAUCCUCUAUGAGAUCCUGCUGGGGAAGGCCACCCUCUAUGCUGUGCUGGUCAGCGCCCUGGUGCUGAUGGCCAUGGUUAAGAAAAAGGAUUCCUGA